CAGUAGCGUAUAUUAAAGUUGUUGCAGUUAAAAAGCUCGUAGUUGGAUUUCUGGCGUGACGGAACUGACCCGCCGCGUUAUGCGUGUGAGUGUCGGCGUCCGUCUGCCAUCCUCCCGGAGAGCGAGUCUACCCUUCACUGGGCCGGGCUCUCGAUCCGGGACCGUUACUUUGAAGAAAUUAGAGUGUUCAAAGCAGGCUUGCGCCGUGAAUACAUUAGCAUGGAAUAUCAACAUAGGACUUUGGUUCUAUUUUGUUGGUUUCUAGGACUGAAGUAAUGAUUGAUAGGGAUAGUUGGGGGUGCUAGUAUUCAGCGGCCAGAGGUGAAAUUCUUGGAUUCGCUGAAGACUAACUUAUGCGAAAGCAUUCACCAAGGAUGUCUUCUUUAA
rnacentral:rRNA from 1 species